rnacentral:rRNA from 1 species
UGGGGAAUAUUGGACAAUGGGCGCAAGCCUGAUCCAGCCAUGCCGCGUGAGUGAUGAAGGCCCUAGGGUUGUAAAGCUCUUUCAGUGGUGAAGAUAAUGACGGUAACCACAGAAGAAGCUCCGGCUAACUCCGUGCCAGCAGCCGCGGUAAUACGGAGGGAGCUAGCGUUGUUCGGAAUUACUGGGCGUAAAGCGCGCGUAGGCGGUCUAUAAAGUUGGGGGUGAAAUCCCGGAGCUCAACUCCGGAACUGCCUCCAAAACUGCUAGACUCGAGUUCGGAAGAGGUAAGUAGAAUUCCCAGUGUAGAGGUGAAAUUCGUAGAUAUUGGGAAGAAUACCAGUGGCGAAGGCGGCUUACUGGUCCGAUACUGACGCUGAGGUGCGAAAGCGUGGGGAGCAAACAGG